rnacentral:misc_RNA from 1 species
CCCAGGUGUCAAAAGAACAUUGUUCGAGGGUUUGGCAUUGUUACAUUACCUUUUUUACUGUUGAUUGGCUGAAACGUGCAGGUUGGAGAUUCUUUUCCAAAGGCCAAUAUGAUCACAGAGGAUAUCUUGACUAUAUGGGGCAGCCCAAAUCACUAGUAUGUUCUAUCUUUCUAUGAUUGUGGGGCUUUUGCCCCUUUUUCUUUCACUUUCCCCUCUCUCUUUCUCUCUCUCUUUGUGCAUAUAUAAGAAAAAGACCCCCACACCAUACCAACCCUCAUAAGCACUAGCUGCUACAUAGAACAAAAGGUUCUAACUUUGAUAUUAUAUUAUCGGAGUGAUCGAUAACCACUAUAAAGGUCCAACUUGCAAGCAUUGUCUUCAUAAUUUGGAAUUACAUAUUGAUGUUCAUUCUUCGUCCAAAAGCUGCAAUGCAGCUAGAGAGAAAAAAAGUUCAUUUGUUCUAUUUAUUUGUCAUUUUAUUAGAGAUUUAAUGUUCGAUUUCCAAGCUCAGGGGCCCCCCGGAAUGCCAAACACGUCAACUUGCAGCUUUUGUCUAUCGUAGGCUUGUCUUGCAUGAGCCCUGUCUGUUUGCCCACACGUCAGGGAUAACAUGCUCUUCAUAUUAUUAUUUCUCUCAACUAUAAUAUAAAUGUUCUUUCUAGUUUUGGGGUGCUGUAUAAAAAUGUCUGAUUGUCGUCUGUAGUUAUGACGGUGAGACAAGUAAAUGAUGGAUUAGAUUCAACAACAAAAUGUCCUUUUUAACCCUUUGCUCUGCCCAACUUGAUUAAAGUAAUCAAUGAUGUUGAUUAUAUUACAGGUUAUGCUUUCUUCGCUUUGCCAUGAGGGGCGAUUAAAAAAUGUCCCAUUGAGAAAGAGCUCAGUUAAACAAUCUUGACUUGAUGGGGCGGCGCUUGAAAUAUUCAAAAUCAACUCAAUUUGGUAGCUCAACUUCAUAAAUUAUUUUUUUACAUUUAAUAUGUAUAAUAUAUUCAAAUUAAAUCAACUCAAUGGACAUGGACUCACGUCCUUCUCAAACGCAUAAUUUAUGUAACCUUUAUAGAUUGUUGGGAUGGAGGACUUUUGAGGGUAAAGUAAAGUAAAAUUUUAGGAGAUUUUUAGGUUGUUUGAGAUGAGAGUAUGUAGGAGGGAUUUUUUUUUUGUUAUUUAGGGGGUUGAAAAUUCCUCCAAAUCCUUCUAUUUUUCAACCCAUCGAUUUGGUGGAUUGAGGGAGGUUAAGGUUUUUAUUUUCUUAUAUUAUCCUUCUUUAAUUUCUAAAAACCUAAAAUUACCCCUUUCUUGUUUUUAUGUUUUUAAUUGUUUUAUAAAAAGGGUGUAUUUGUAAUAUUCAUAUUUAACAUUACUUUCCAAUACCUUCCCUCCAAG